GGCGCACAGCGUAAGGCCUGCAGUCGGCCAUGAGGUCUGCUGCUCCUGAGCCUCAGGCUGUACACUAAGAGAAGGAACAGCAGACAAAACCAGGACCAGCCCGGAGCAGAGCAGAGCAGAGGUUAAGGAGGUUUUUCACAGAGGAGAACCAGGGAGAAAGACGAGGAGAUGGUCCUCGACCCUCCUCCUGAUGAUCUAGCUGUGCUGUCUCCAGACUCACGUGAUG